UUGAACUUCUGGGAUCUGGCCUCCUCUGC
rnacentral:piRNA from 1 species